AUCUAAAUAGUUUAAUUAAAAUGUUGAUCUGUGGUGUCGAUGAUGAGGUUAAUUGCUUCUUUGGAUU
rnacentral:tRNA from 1 species